AAAAGAACCAAACUAAACUCUUCUCCUCCUCACCAUUUCAAAAUAAAAACAACAUAAAGUAUGCGAGGUAUUAUAAACAUCCGUUGACUGUUUUACCACACUAUGCUUUGAAGACCAAGAAAACUGGGCACAUAUUCAUUCUCCAGGCACUCUGCCAAACUGCUCCAAGCACCCUACCUGCCUACUAUCUUAAGUUUCCAGAAUAAGUGAGAAAACACAAUCCAGUUGCAGUUGCAGGGCUGCAUGUUUCCUCCCUGCACUCCGAGACUGAACCCUAAAACACGGACACGAAAACUUUUGACGCAUGGGCGAAAACUCAUGGGGUGUUUAUACAGUGAAACAUGCUGAUCCAUUCCACAUCUGACGAACUACCAUGAGCAUCACAUCAGAGUCGUGCCUCUGAAUACAGCAUCUUUCAUAGAGGAAAAGGUCAACAUUCAGUGAGAGGAAAUCAUCCUGCACAGCUGGACAACCACAGUGCUGGAUCAUCUCAGUAAGAGAAAAGAAGAGAGAGCAAGUACAAAUAUACAACCCUCAGGUGUAAGAGAAGGGAUGAGAAAAAAGAAGAGAAGAACAGUCAAACGGUCAAAGCCCUUAAAAAGCCAGUCCUCUUCUAUGCAACUGACUUUACAUUGCUAUAUUCUUUAAAACUCUAGAUCGAUGAUCUCCUACCUUGAAUAUACAGGUUUUCCCCCCAAAUGAAGGCCUAAUCUGUGCUUAUUAAACCCGUAAGCUCACCUAUAGAAUCCCCUGGACUACCCCUAGUGCGUCACUGGCCACCAGAACCUCCCGCUGGAUUCACAAGGGUGGUUAGAUGUUCUUAGACAUCACAAGCCACUUUCUCUGUUUCAAGCUGACCUUGGAAUGGCCAUUAGGCAUGGCUUUGAACUACUGGAACUAUCUCUCAUAGACCAGUGUCAAGGGUCCCCCUGAGUUGAUAAUGACUUGCUUUCAUAACUGCUGUGACAUUUUGUGAAGGUACGCUAGGCGUGCUCACAGGCCAUAUCUCCAGAAUGCAAUGCUUCCUUUCCCCCUCAGCAGGUGCGAAUCCGAGCUGCAUAGUCUGCGAUUUACAGUGCUGUGUUUGCGCAUCCUGGAAUAAGUAUAAGCCCGGGCACACGCAUAUGUCCAGCCUUGAUAAGCAAUUUGGCUCACUACAGUGUCGACAAGAACUCAGAAUUACCACAGAACGAUGAGUGACUGUAUGAUAUUUGGUUUAAACAUCAUUGCCACAGUUCAGAGAUGAUUUAGCUACAUUAUAUUAUGGAUAUUUUUGGUAUCACAAACCAUAUGCUAUCCCUUGGAUCAAUUGCUUUGGCUUGCAUUGUUUUCAUUUGUAAAUCUUUAAAAGUUACUGCUAAACAAAUAAAUGGAAUGGAAUGAACAAUGCAAUUACAAUUGGCACAAAAUAAAAUGCACUACUUACUAGAA